rnacentral:rRNA from 1 species
AGCUCCAAUAGCGUAUAUUAAAGUUGCUGCAGUUAAAAAGCUCGUAGUUGCAUUUCCGAGGCAAGGGAUUAGUCCGACCUUUGGUGGGUAUUUAAUCCUCUUGCCUCGUCCUUGAGUGGUGCUUCUUGGUAUUAAGUUAUCGAGGAGAUAGCCGCUCAUCGUUUACUGUGAGAAAAUUAGAGUGUUCAAAGCAGGCUUAUGCCGUUGAAUAUAUUAGCAUGGAAUAAUAAGAUAGGACCUCGGUACUAUUUUGUUGUUUUUAGAACCAAGGUAAUGAUGAAUAGGGACAGUUGGGGGUAUUCGUAUUCAGUUGUCAGAGGUGAAAUUCUUAGAUUUACGGAAGACGAACUACUGCGAAAGCAUUUACCAAGGAUGUUUUCA